rnacentral:rRNA from 1 species
CUGGGGCUUAACCCCAGACCUGCAUUCGAUACGGGCGAGCUAGAGUGUGGUAGGGGAGACUGGAAUUCCUGGUGUAGCGGUGGAAUGCGCAGAUAUCAGGAGGAACACCGAUGGCGAAGGCAGGUCUCUGGGCCAAUACUGACACUGAGGAGCGAAAGCGUGGGGAGCGAACAGGAUUAGAUACCCUGGUAGUCCACGCCGUAAACGGUGGGCGCUAGUUGUGCGAACCUUCCACGGUUUGUGCGACGCAGCUAACGCAUUAAGCGCCCCGCCUGGGGAGUACGAUCGCAAGAUUAAAACUCAAAGGAAUUGACGGGGCCCCGCACAAGCAGCGGAGCAUGCGGCUUAAUUCGACGCAACGCGAAGAACCUUACCAAGGCUUGACAUAUACAGGAAUAUGGCAGAGAUGUCAUAGCCGCAAGGUCGGUAUACAGGUGGUGCAUGGUUGUCGUCAGCUCGUGUCGUGAGAUGUUGGGUUAAGUCCCGCAACGAGCGCAACCCUCGUUCUAUGUUGCCAGCACGUAAAGGUGGGAACUCAUGGGAGACUGCCGGGGUCAACUCGGAGGAAGGUGGGGAUGACGUCAAAUCAUCAUGCCCCUUAUGUCUUGGGCUUCACGCAUGCUACAAUGGCCGAUACAGAGGGCUGCAAUACCGCAAGGUGGAGCGAAUCCCACAAAGUCGGUCUCAGCUCGGAUUGAGGUCUGCAACUCGACCUCAUGAAGUCGGAGUCGCUAGUAAUCGCAGAUCAGCAACGCUGCGGUGAAUACGUUCCCGGGCCUUGUACACACCGCCCGUCAAGUCAUGAAAGUCGGUAACACCCGAAGCCAGUGGCCUAACCGCAAGGAAGGAGCUGUCGAAGGUGGGAUCGGUGAUUAGGACU